GUCAUUUAGAGGAAGUAAAAGUCGUAACAAGGUUUCCGUAGGUGAACCUGCGGAAGGAUCAUUACAAGUGAGGCUACCGAACGUUGGAAACAGCGGUUAGGAGCUUACACCCACCCGUGUUUACAUACUAUUGUUGCUUUGGCGGGCCGUGGCCUCCACUGCGGGCUCUGCUCGUGUGUGCCCGCCAGAGAACCAAACUCUGAAUGUUAGUGAUGUCUGAGUACUAUCUAAUAGUUAAAACUUUCAACAACGGAUCUCUUGGUUCUGGCAUCGAUGAAGAACGCAGCGAAAUGCGAUAAGUAAUGUGAAUUGCAGAAUUCAGUGAAUCAUCGAAUCUUUGAACGCACAUUGCGCCCUGUGGUAUUCCGCAGGGCAUGCCUGUUCGAGCGUCAUUUAACCACUCACGCCUAGCGUGGUAUUGGGGCACGCGGUCUCCGCGGCCCUCAAAAUGAGUGGCGGCGCCGGUGGGCUCUAAGCGUAGUACAUACUCCCGYUAUAGAGUUCCCCCGGUGGCUCGCCAGAACCCCCAAUUUUUACAGGUUGACCUCGGAUCAGGUAGGGAUACCCGCUGAACUUAAGCAUAUCAAUAAG
rnacentral:rRNA from 1 species